rnacentral:telomerase_RNA from 1 species
CGCCGAUGACAGAUCAACGCUUAAGCAACGGGCUGUUUGACAGCACUAUACCACCUAACGAACAGAAGGAUACGGGUUGAGCGGGAAAGGGUUUGCAGCAUCCAACAUAAAUUCGAUCUAACGCCCGCCUUUUCUUCGUCCCCCUCUUUCACCUUGACUCGACGACAAAAUAUUCGAAUAGGAUGUUGUCUUGUCGGUGCAAGAGCGAGGGAGGCAAAAAAGGUAGCUAAGGUUUUAAAGCGGUGUUAGACGAUCCUAACCCUAAGUUGUUUCUCUGCAGAACUCUUACGAGUAAGUGGUAUCUGCACUUCUUUCGCAUAACCUUUGAAGAGAUUAUGCGAUUUCCAGUCGAGCUUUACGGAGGCUUUGUUCAAGUUCUUCUUUACCAUCCCCCCUUCCGCAGGAGAGGAAAUCGGGAAACGUAAGAACGGAUGCCCAAACCCUUCCCACCCCUGCUCUACUGUUCGAUUUUGGUUGUUCUCGAGGCCUCCCCCUUCUCCUCUCCACCAUGAAUCGGAAAGGAAGCAAGGGAAAAAACACCAACUCUGCGGAGUCACAACACCUCGUCUGGGGUCGUUGGUGGUGUAUAGAGCUUCGUCGCUCGCCUUUCCUUUCUUCUUUUCGGAUCGCUAGGUUGGGUGGGGGGGCAGAAAAGUGGCAAUUUUUCUUCCUUGUAGGGUU